AGGACGAACGCUGGCGGCGUGCCUAACACAUGCAAGUCGAACGGAGUUAAAUUCGACACCCGAGUAUCCGGCCGGGAGGCGGGGUGCUGGGGGUUGGAUUUAACUUAGUGGCGGACGGGUGAGUAACGCGUGAGUAACCUGCCUUUCAGAGGGGGAUAACGUUCUGAAAAGAACGCUAAUACCGCAUAACAUCAAUUUAUCGCAUGAUAGGUUGAUCAAAGGAGCAAUCCGCUGGAAGAUGGACUCGCGUCCGAUUAGCCAGUUGGCGGGGUAACGGCCCACCAAAGCGACGAUCGGUAGCCGGACUGAGAGGUUGAACGGCCACAUUGGGACUGAGACACGGCCCAGACUCCUACGGGAGGCAGCAGUGGGGGAUAUUGCACAAUGGGGGAAACCCUGAUGCAGCAACGCCGCGUGAGGGAAGAAGGUUUUCGGAUUGUAAACCUCUGUUCUUAGUGACGAUAAUGACGGUAGCUAAGGAGAAAGCUCCGGCUAACUACGUGCCAGCAGCCGCGGUAAUACGUAGGGAGCGAGCGUUGUCCG
rnacentral:rRNA from 1 species